rnacentral:lncRNA from 1 species
UUAAAAUAUAGUUAGAGAUAAGUUUAAUUCUUUUAUUUGAUUAUAAUUAGGAUUUGUAAUUAUCCAAAGUGAAAGUUGAAUUUAUCAUCUGUUAUGACUUGAUAGCUAUAUAUAGUUAAAUAUGUGUUAAUUAGAGGAAUAAGACACAGUAGACAUGACUGUAUGGGUGUUGCCCAAGAUGUAAUGAAAUGCUUUUCAUUAAUAAAGUAUUAGUUUAGUUUUCUUCUUCCUCCUCCAGUAUCCUUUCUCCAUAUUAUAUUUUGUUCUAUUUUAGAUCCUAUGUUACAUAAUCAGUAUCAAAACAAGUACCAAUUCCAACAAUUGUAUCAGAACAAAUCAUGCUUUCAACAAGUGGUAUCAGGGCCGAAAAGUAUCAUGUGACUUCUUAACAAGACGACAGCAUAUUCGAAAAGAACAAAUAACUAAUAUACCGG